rnacentral:misc_RNA from 1 species
ACUGCUCUUCACCGGCCAUGCGGCGCACUUGUCAUCUCUUCGCCGGGUCUGUGCUCGAUGCGCCGUCGCUCGAGUUGCGCAGGGCAGCUCAACGAGUAGCACGCGCUGAGACCCGUCGCCUGCGGGAGAAAAAAGCGGUAACAAACCCCUACCACAAGGAGCAGUACAUCAGUGCUUUUCUCGAGGCUCACAGCACAGCGCUGGUGCAUCAGCACGUCGUCUCCACGUCUGCCAGUGCCAAGCACAUCGACGAAACGCCCGCGACGUCACUUACCGCCGCACAGGAACUGACGACCCUGGCGCAGGAGCUGGACGCACGUUAUGCUACUCAUGACUCCCCGGCAAGGCUGGCCCGCUCAAGCGCUGAGGCGUCGCCCGCUGACAGCGCUACUCGGCCGAGCAUCGGCUCUCUAUGGCCCACUCCUCGCAUCAUGUUUGGUGCGUGGCGCAGCACGAGUGGUGGAGACACGCGUCUGCGACAGCGCCUGCGCUCGGCUGAUGUGAUGCGGCACUGCGUGAUCCGCGAAGCCCGCACGCCACCAUCCCUCUCGCCGGAGGUGAUCGAGCGGAUGCUGCCGCCGCGGCUUCCGGCGCCAGCACAGCGCUUAAUGGUCUACUUAAAAUCCGAGCGCUUCCAGCGUAGUCCGGCCCCGGAGACCUGUGAUCGACUAGAGUCUCUUCUCUCGGCGGCUCUGCGUGCACUUCACUACUCACAUGAGAUGCAGCGAGCCGUUGCCCUCUACGCAGUUCUGUGUCUCAGCACCUUCAGGGACUGGCACAUGGCCUCCGCCAUUGUGGUGUCUCUGGUGCAGCGGUGGUCGGCACUGGUUGCGCUGCCCGCUAUGAGCUCGUCUGAGUCGAUGAAGGCUGUGCACGAGGAUCGCUCGCACAUGAUCGCGCUGUUCCUGGAGACUGUGCGAUGCAGUAGCUCGAGGCCCUUCUUCACUGCACCGUCCUUGGAGGAGCUAGAUAAGGUGUGUGUGGCACUACACAAGCCAUUUGAGGAAGCGGAUGCUGGCGCGAUCGCAUGUAUCACGCACGGAGGCAGAUCUCUCGACGAUAACGGCACGAAGAGCAACGGCACUGCUGCUGCCUUCUCGCCUCGCUGGGAUCCUGUCGUGUCGGCACCGCUGCUGUCGGUGAUGGGUUUGCACAGGCUCAACGGCAGCCCGUUUUCCGGAAGCGAAACAGCGAAAAUGAAGUCCCUGGCGGAGCGUUUCUGCCUGCAUCGAUCUCGUCCCUCUCCGUCUCCAUCUGCACCUGCGCGCGCUUCCGGGCCAGCGUACAUGCCUGCCUUAGCGUGGGGUGAGUAUCUGCGGGCACUGCACCGCUGUGGCGCCUCCUUGGCGGAGAUGCAAGAGGCGACAGAUCGCAUCACCGACAAGGCCUGUACGCGCCAUGCCGAUUCGCUUCUCUCCAGCACGCACGUGUGGAACGCGUACCUCGCCUGCAGUCCGGGCAGCCACGCCAAAGAGCUAUAUGAGAAGAAUUUGCGCGCCUACAAGGUAAGAGAAACGCCCGCCACCACGGCAGCGGUCAUGAUCGCGCUUCUGCGAGAGGGAACGGCAGAGAGCCGCGUCGAGGCCCGUACUCUGUGGAAGCGCCUCCAGCACGUGCACGUAUCCGGCAAGAUGGUCCUGCACACCAGCAGUACAUUGAUGGCCUAUAUUCGACUGCUGGAGGUGGAGGGCCAGGCAGACGAGCUCUUGGAGCUUCUUACCUCCUUUGAGGGGCUGUACGAGCCGUUUGGCGUGGCACCGGAGUCUUUUUCACGAGCGGUGGAGGCGGUGCAUCAGCGGGGCCGUGGCAGCUCAGGGAUCGCAAGGGGCCUCGAUCUCGUUGCCCAUAUCUGCCACGCACACCCCUUCCUCGUACCGCCACUAGUGCGCUACGCUGUGGUGCAGGCGAUUGAGCGGACUACGACGGCCGCUGCAUAUGCGAAAGUCGCUGUGACCAGCCACAAUGACAGAGUGGAGGCUUCGCUCCCUGCCGCAAGUCCGUUAGCGGCAGCGGCGCUUGAGUUCUCUGCCGACGACCUCGCUGCGACACUCUGAUCGGGCGCCGUCGGACGCGAUUGCGGGCGCUUAUACGCGGUGGCUUAGCGCCGCUCCCAUGCGCUGCGCAUGCCGGCUUUUUCCUCUUUGCCCUUCACACGCAAUCAAUCGAUUUCACAGCGGUAAAGCGAGGCCCUCCCGCUCCUGUAGCUCUGCGUACUGUGCAGCGCUCACCUGCUCUCUUAAUAUGCCCUGCUGCCCCCCCCCCCUCCUCCUUCCGUAGCGAGGGGAUCCUCUGUCUGGCGCGCAUGCUUGCCGGGCGCACGCACAUCGCUGUCCUACGGGCGCCCGAUUUCUGUCACGCAGAGUAUGUGCGCGGUGUGCUUGCCCCACCAGCCUUCAGGCGUGGGUGUGUCACAGCCACUCCGUCUACCACCUUCCCCCCUCUCUCCCGCCGACACCGCCGGCGUCCGUUUCGUGCAG